rnacentral:tRNA from 1 species
CGGAACGUAGCUCAGCUAGGGUAGAGCACUAGCAUGGGGUGCUAGGGGGCGAAGGUUCAAAUACUCUCGUUCCGA